rnacentral:rRNA from 1 species
GAUGAACGCUGGCGGCGUGCCUAAUACAUGCAAGUCGAGCGAACGGACGAGAAGCUUGCUUCUCUGAUGUUAGCGGCGGACGGGUGAGUAACACGUGGAUAACCUACCUAUAAGACUGGGAUAACUUCGGGAAACCGGAGCUAAUACCGGAUAAUAUUUUGAACCGCAUGGUUCAAAAGUGAAAGACGGUCUUGCUGUCACUUAUAGAUGGAUCCGCGCUGCAUUAGCUAGUUGGUAAGGUAACGGCUUACCAAGGCAACGAUGCAUAGCCGACCUGAGAGGGUGAUCGGCCACACUGGAACUGAGACACGGUCCAGACUCCUACGGGAGGCAGCAGUAGGGAAUCUUCCGCAAUGGGCGAAAGCCUGACGGAGCAACGCCGCGUGAGUGAUGAAGGUCUUCGGAUCGUAAAACUCUGUUAUUAGGGAAGAACAUAUGUGUAAGUAACUGUGCACAUCUUGACGGUACCUAAUCAGAAAGCCACGGCUAACUACGUGCCAGCAGCCGCGGUAAUACGUAGGUGGCAAGCGUUAUCCGGAAUUAUUGGGCGUAAAGCGCGCGUAGGCGGUUUUUUAAGUCUGAUGUGAAAGCCCACGGCUCAACCGUGGAGGGUCAUUGGAAACUGGAAAACUUGAGUGCAGAAGAGGAAAGUGGAAUUCCAUGUGUAGCGGUGAAAUGCGCAGAGAUAUGGAGGAACACCAGUGGCGAAGGCGACUUUCUGGUCUGUAACUGACGCUGAUGUGCGAAAGCGUGGGGAUCAAACAGGAUUAGAUACCCUGGUAGUCCACGCCGUAAACGAUGAGUGCUAAGUGUUAGGGGGUUUCCGCCCCUUAGUGCUGCAGCUAACGCAUUAAGCACUCCGCCUGGGGAGUACGACCGCAAGGUUGAAACUCAAAGGAAUUGACGGGGACCCGCACAAGCGGUGGAGCAUGUGGUUUAAUUCGAAGCAACGCGAAGAACCUUACCAAAUCUUGACAUCCUUUGACAACUCUAGAGAUAGAGCUUUCCCCUUCGGGGGACAAAGUGACAGGUGGUGCAUGGUUGUCGUCAGCUCGUGUCGUGAGAUGUUGGGUUAAGUCCCGCAACGAGCGCAACCCUUAAGCUUAGUUGCCAUCAUUAAGUUGGGCACUCUAAGUUGACUGCCGGUGACAAACCGAAGGAAGGUGGGGAUGACGUCAAAUCAUCAUGCCCCUUAUGAUUUGGGCUACACACGUGCUACAAUGGACAAUACAAAGGGCAGCGAAACCGUGAGGUCAAGCAAAUCCCAUAAAGUUGUUCUCAGUUCGGAUUGUAGUCUGCAACUCGACUACAUGAAGCUGGAAUCGCUAGUAAUCGUAGAUCAGCAUGCUACGGUGAAUACGUUCCCGGGUCU